UACGUAGCAGCGAGCGUUGUUCGGAAUUACUGGGCGUAAAGAGUGCGUAGGCGGUGCCCUAAGUUUGGUGUGAAAUCUCCCGGCUCAACUGGGAGGGUGCGCCGAAAACUGGGGUGCUUGAGUGUGGGAGAGGUAAGCGGAAUUUCCGGUGUAGCGGUGAAAUGCGUAGAUAUCGGAAGGAACACCAGUGGCGAAAGCGGCUUCCUGGUCCAGCACCGACGUCAGGCACGAAAGCGUGGGGAGCAAACAGG
rnacentral:rRNA from 1 species